rnacentral:rRNA from 1 species
ACGACUCUCGGCAACGGAUAUCUCGGCUCUCGCAUCGAUGAAGAACGUAAGUUGCGCCCGAAGCCGUGAACCAUCGAGUCUUUGAAUGCAAGUUACGCCUGAAGCCGUUAGGCCGAGGGCACGUCUGCCUGGGCGUCUCGCAUCGCGUCGCCCCC